GGUACUUGUGAGAUUGUCAUUUUCUGUAUAUUUUACUAUUUCUGUAUAAUAAACAGUUUUUUAUUUUAUUUAAUUCCAAGCUUGACAUUGAAACUGAAUUAGAAAGAAAAAUGGUCCCAAAAUGUUAAGAGCAAUGAAAUUGCGUUGAUGGGGGUGGUGUGAGUAAUGGCAACCAUAUACUUGAUAACAGCUUCUUACAUUUACAAGUGCCUUGUGAUGGUGAAUUCUUAAUUUAAAGUAUGUUGUAGUUUGUGUUGGCCAUUUGAUUUAAAACUAGGAAUGCUCAUUUUCUGGUUUCUGAAUUCUUAACCAAUUUGAGCAGGAUGUAAUGUUAUACCUAUUCAAAAGUGAACAAGGGUAAGGUUGUGAUUUGAUUAUCAAUUUAAAAAAUGUAGCUUAGUAUUGUUUUGGCAUUUUGGUGAAAUGGGUUUGUUUGUACCCAACUGCAAGCCUUUUGUUUGCGCAUGAUUUAAUAGUUGACUGAGUAUCCAUGCUUAUACAUACUUUAAUCAGUUUUUUUGCAACAUGUGUUCAUGUGGCUGAAAUUCUAUGAUUAGUUUUCUUCCUUGAAAUUUUUAUUAGUUUAAUUCUAUUCGAAUAUGAAUUAUUUCUUUAUGCAAAAUAGAUACCUUUUGGUUUGUUGGUGAGGCAUUAUUUACUAAAGGUGGUUUUAUAGGAACUGCUUAUGAAGAGAAUGAAGUGGCAAAUUUUUCAUACAAUUGUCAAUACUAAAGUUGCAGAAUGAAUCUAAGGAUGCAAGUUUCCUUACAAACUUGGUUAGAUUUGAAAGUGUUUCUUUGAAAGUUUGCAAGUUUUAUUUCUCUUCAUUGACAAAAAUUCAUAGAUUGGCAGCUUGUGACAUACUAACUUGUAGUAGUAGAGGGAAAGGCCUGUUACCAUGGACAAAGAAUGCGUUCACCAGUCAAGGUUCUUUGCUCUCAAGUAUGCUGCAGGUGCAAGAUGGUUGUGAUUGUGCAGGUGCUGGUGCUAGAUGGUUGUGAUUAUGCAGGGGCAAGAUGCAAGAUGUGUUGUGAUGCUACAUGGCAACCAAUUUUGAGGAAUAACAGUAGGAUAAUUUUAUUAUGUGACAUGCUUUUGUAUAAGUACUCUAGAUGUACGAUCCAAACUUAUCAAUCAAUAAAGUAUUAUUUCUUAACAA